AUUGAACGCUGGCGGCAGGCCUAACACAUGCAAGUCGAGCGAGCGGCGGACGGGUGAGUAAUGUCUGGGAAACUGCCUGAUGGAGGGGGAUAACUACUGGAAACGGUAGCUAAUACCGCAUACCAUCAGAUGUGCCCAGAUGGGAUUAGCUAGUAGGUGGGGUAAUGGCUCACCAAGGCAACGAUCCCUAGCUGGUCUGAGAGGAUGACCAGCAACACUGGAACGGAGACACGGUCAAGACGCCUACGGGAGGCAGGAGUGGGGAAGAGUGCACAAGGGGGGAAAGCCUGAUGCAGCAAUGCCGCGUGUGUGAAGAAGGCCUUCGGGUUGUAAAGCACUUUCAGCGAGGAGGCGUUACUCGCAGAAGAAGCACCGGCUAACUCCGUGCCAGCAGCCGCGGUAAUAC
rnacentral:rRNA from 1 species